rnacentral:rRNA from 1 species
UACGGAGGGUGCAAGCGUUAUCCGGAUUCACUGGGCUUAAAGGGUGCGUAGGCGGCUAAAUAAGUCAGUGGUGAAAGCUUACAGCUUAACUGUGAAACUGCCAUUGAAACUGUUUAGCUUGAAUCUGGUUGAAGUGGGCGGAAUACAUCAUGUAGCGGUGAAAUGCUUAGAUAUGACAUAGAACACCGAUUGCGAAGGCAGCUCACUAAGCAGACAUUGACGCUGAGGCACGAAAGCGUGGGGAUCAAACAGG